rnacentral:rRNA from 1 species
UACGUAGGGCGCAAGCGUUGUCCGGAAUUAUUGGGCGUAAAGAGCUCGUAGGCGGCUUGCCACGUCGGAUGUGAAAGCCCGGGGCUUAACCCCGGGUCUGCAUUCGAUACGGGCAGGCUAGAGUGUGGUAGGGGAGAUCGGAAUUCCUGGUGUAGCGGUGAAAUGCGCAGAUAUCAGGAGGAACACCGGUGGCGAAGGCGGAUCUCUGGGCCAUUGCUGACGCUGAGGAGCGAAAGCGUGGGGAGCGAACAGG